rnacentral:lncRNA from 1 species
AAUAGAAUUUUAUGUAAAAUCUUAACAAAAAUAAUUUCAAGAGCGGGAACAGAUUAGGACACUAAGUUGUUUGCAGCUCUAUGGACAUAACCUUGUCAUAAUACAUGAAGUCUUGCUUGAGAAUGCUCCAAGCACCUAGUUGUGGAAGGAAGAAUGAAAAUUAUAAUAAAAAAAUUCUAAUUCUAAUAGAAUACUAAUAAUGCUCUAAUUAGACCAUAAUAAUACUAAGCAAGCUUAAUCAAAUUCAAAAAAACUUCAAAGAAAUUUUAAAGAAAAAAUAAGAAUUCUUAAUGAAAUAUUAGAAGGAUCACAAAUAUCACUCAAAUACAUCUCAAUUCAAUCUUAAUUUAAUUCUAAUUAAUAUCCUAUUGAACUUCAUUCAAACUUUAGGCCAAAACUAAUUGAAUCUUAAAUCCUAAUAAAAUCCUAAAUCCUGAAUCAAAUCUUAAAAAAACCAUAAAUUAAAUCCUAAUCAAAUCCUAAACCAAAUCCUAAUCAAACCCUAAACCAAAUCUAAAAUCCUAAUCAAACCCUAAUCCAAAUCAUAAAUCCUAAAUCAAACCCUAAUCAAAUCCUAAAUCCUAAAUCAAAUCUUAACUAAACUCUAAACCCUAAAUCAAAUCCUAAUCAAAUCCUAAUCCAAAUCCUAA